GCCCUGGUGGUUCAGUGGUAGAAUUCUCGCCUUCUGUGCCAGAGACCCGGGUUCGAUUCCAGGCCAGUGCA
rfam:Loxodonta africana unplaced genomic scaffold scaffold_6, whole genome shotgun sequence.